GACACAACUCCACAUGACUCAGAAGCCCUUCUUAAAAUAAGACCAGACCACAUUCAUGGAGGCUGAGUCACCUCUAACCUUCCAAACUUGUGUCUUACCAAGAAUGAAAGGCAACCUAUGUAAAAACUAUGGGCUUUCUAGUAUAAAUAAAAACUACUCAUCUCCAGAAAAUAAACAAUGACUGCUAAGAUGAUUGAAAAAAGAAAGGAGAAGAAAGUAGCUUGUAAAAGCGUGUGAAAUGCAUUCACGUUGGAAUCUCCUACAGGCACUUCAGAAGACGAAGUGCUCCUGAUGGCUGCUUUCAAUCACUGGAAGAACCAUGAAAGUGCGAGAGAUUCCUCCCGGUGAAUGAAGCCAGCUCACCACCGUCAAGGGCAAGGGAUCAGCGUGUGUUCACAUGGAGGCCUCUCACCGAGGGAACCCAAGGGGGACAGCACAGGAAUUGCAGAGCCAGCACCCAUGGAAUGGGCAGGGAUUUGGGUUUCAUCCAACCAGCCAGUUGAUCAAUAAUCACUGAAUGUCUGUCACCCAUUGCAUCCUCUCCUGAGUAGUGAGGCUAGGCCAG